UGACUUCCCCAGGCUGGCCCCCCAUGCUGGCGUGGGCAAGUAUCUAUUCAAAAGCCUCACCCUCAAGCAUGACUAAGAGC
rnacentral:pre_miRNA from 1 species